rnacentral:rRNA from 1 species
AUUGAACGCUGGCGGCAGGCCUAACACAUGCAAGUCGAGCGAGCGGCGGACGGGUGCGUAAUGUAUGGGGACUGCCCGAUAGAGGGGGAUAACUACUGGAAACGGCAGCUAAUACCGCAUACUAUCGGAUAACCCUUAUGGGAUUAGCUAGUAGGUGAGGUAAUGGCUCACCUAGGCGACGAUCCCUAGCUGGUCUGAGAGGAUUAUCGGCCAGACUGUGACUGGGACACGGCGCAGACUCCUCCGGUGGCAGCAGUGGGGAAUAUUGCUCAGUGGGCGCUAUCCUGAUGCGGCCAUGCCGCGGGUAUGAGGAAGGCCCUAGGGUUGUAAAGUACUUUCAGGCGAGUGGCGUUACCGACAGAAGAAGCACCGGCUAACUCCGUGCCAGCAGCCGCGGUAAUUC